rnacentral:rRNA from 1 species
GUCCACGCUGUAAACGAUGGGCACUAGGUGUCGGGGGUAUCCACUCCCUCGGUGCCGCCGCUAACGCAUUAAGUGCCCCGCCUGGGAAGUACGGCCGCAAGGUUAAAACUCAAAGGAAUUGACGGGGCCCGCACAAGCGGUGGAGCAUGUGGUUCAAUUCGAUGCAACGCGAAGAACCUUACCUGGGUUUGACAUCUGGCGAAAUCUUCCCGAAAGGGAAGGGUGCCCGCAAGGGGAGCGCCAAGACAGGUGCUGCAUGGCUGUCGU